GAGGGCGGGAGAGAGAGAGAGGGAGGGGGAAUGAGAUGGGGAGAGAGAGAAAGGGAGAGAGGGAUGGAGGGGGGUAAUGAGACGGGGAAAGAGGGAAUGAUUUGCUUAUUAUUAUUAUUAUUAUUAUUAUUAUUAUUAUUAUUAUUAGCAAUAAUAACAAUGACUUCGAUACAAACCAAUGCCAACACCAACAACCCAAAUGAUACAUUUUGAUUAUUUAUCUUAAUGCAAACAACACACCAACAACACAAAUAUUACCUGGUAUAUGUCUCAGUGGUGUGUAUGAUUUGGUAUAUGUCUCAGUGGUGUGCAUGAUUUGGUAUAUGUCUGAGUGUGGUGUGUAUGAUUUGGUAUAUGUCUCAGUGGUGUGUAUGAUUUGGUAUAUGUCUCAGUGGUGUGUAUGAUUUGGUAUAUGUCUCAGUGGUGUGUAUGAUUUGGUAUAUGUCUCAGUGGUGUGUAUGAUUUGGUAUAUGUUGGGCUCACCAUAGAGCAUGACUCGGUUAAUGCCAUCCUUGAUCUCGCCCAGGUCAGUUUCCUCCAGGAGAAUGCAGUCGGGACAGUUUAGCCACAGUCCGUUCCACAAAACAGUUCGUCUGUUUGGGCGAC